rnacentral:rRNA from 1 species
ACUCAAAGGAAUUGACGGGGGCCCGCACAAGCAGUGGAUUAUGUGGUUUAAUUCGAAGCAACGCGAAGAACCUUACCAGGUCUUGACAUGCCCUGAGUAGCGUGGAGACACGUGAUGUCCUUCGGGACAGGGACACAGGUGGUGCAUGGUUGUCGUCAGCUCGUGUCGUGAGAUGUUGGGUUAAGUCCCGCAACGAGCGCAACCCUUACUAUUAGUUGCUACGCAAGAGCACUCUAAUGGGACUGCCGUUGACAAAACGGAGGAAGGUGGGGAUGAUGUCAAAUCAUCAUGCCCUUUAUGACCUGGGCUACACACGUAAUACAAUGGUACUAUAACAGAGGGAAGCAAAGCCGCGAGGUGGAGCAAACCCCCAAAAAGUAUCUCAGUUCGGAUUGCAGGCUGCAACUCGCCUGCAUGAAGUCGGAAUUGCUAGUAAUCGUGGAUCAUCAUGCCACGGUGAAUACGUUCCCGGGCCUUGUACACACCGCCCGU